rnacentral:lncRNA from 1 species
UGGGCCCCAUGGAAAAUAUUCUCGAGAUGCUCCAUACAUGUUUCCUGGAGGAGGUGGAGGGAAAAAAGCUCCUCUUCUCAUGAACUGAUUCCUUGGAUCCACUGGAAACAAUGGACCUCUGAUUGGAGGGAAAGGUGAGAAAGCAAAGCCAGAGGCAGUUUCUUGGUUUUCAGCAGGGAGAGAUGACUCGGGCACAUUGGAAUUAUCAAGAUCAACUUUGGAAUCAUUUCUACUGGAUUCCAUUUCAGAAAACAUAGGCCCAUCCAUUUGAUCCCAAGGUGGCAGAGUAGAACUUCUGAGUUCUGCUGGUCCCGAGGGUCCACCAUAAUUAGAAUAACAUCCAUCUUGCCUUGGUAGAGGAAGACAUAGAUCACAAUAUGGUUGGCCUGGUGGAGCCAUCAUCAUCUUAGGGUUCUGUUCCCAUGGAGAUGACAGGGGCCUAAUGUUAUAAGGCACUCUCUGAUGAUCAGUUAUCCCAUCAUAGCCGGAUUCUCUUCUUUCAUUGAUAAUUUGAGGGCCCAGAGGAUUCUCUGGGCCUCUUGAGCCUCUUCCUCCUACCCCUGGAAGCAAAGGUGAGAGUCUGAGUGGACCCUCCUUUCCCAGAAGUGGAGCUCUCAUUUCAGAUGAAGGUCGACCCAAUGGUGAGGGACCAUUUGGGAAAUGCUCUCUGCCAAUGGCUGUAUUUG